UGCAGAUUCUGAUAAUAAUUUUUCUUAAAGACAAAGACCAAAAAUGUAUUUUUGUUGAUGUAUUAGAUUUGCUUUAGAGUAAAAUCAAGAUACAAUGUCUCAUAUGCCCCAAAACUGCUUUGGCAUAAAUUUAUCAUGUUUGGAUGUCCAAAAGGAAAGUUAUUCAAGAUAAGAUAAAAAAAACCAUGAAUAUUAUAAAAAUAAAAAUUGUUUGAGCCAUUUUAGUUAUCAAAGUCAUUCUAAUUACCCACCUAUUUAUAAACUGAACUGAAAUUAAUGAAUCAGCAUUAAUGUUGUGAAUAUGGAAGUUGUGAGAAAAUAUACAGCAUUAAAAAAAACUGGUUGGUCCAAUGGUAGUAGGUUAUCAGAACUUACUAUUACUGUCACUAAUGGUGAUACACAACCCCCACUGCUAAAUUUGACUGCCUUUUAAAAAAACUAUCUCAUAUUAAUUUGCUAUUAAACUUCUGGUCAACAAGUAUACUAAAACUUAAACAGUAUCCUUGUUUCAGUUCCCAGGGGAACAGAAAUCACACAUUUACAGUUGAAGGUUGUAUUUCUGUCCAUAUCUUCUUCUGGUCUUAUAAAUGUGCUUCCCCUUACUCAUCCCCCAUAUGUAUGAUUUUAUUACAACAUAGUUACAAGAAUAAAAUGUACAAAUCUUAAGUGUACAUCUCAAUGAAUAAAUACACACCCUUUCGAUGUUUUAUAUGGCCAGCUGCUAGUUAACUUAAGCUUAGAGCACACCAUGGUGAGAUACAGGAGACAGAACUGGGUCAAAGAGCUUUACUCUGUUCAAUGAUCUCAGACUGCCCCCAAUCCUAGGCAAUCAAGAAUGGUGGGGCCAGGGAGGGGACACCCGCAAGGAAGGAUUGGGUUAAUAAGGCAGAAUAAACCAUGGGGAAAAAUUACCAGUAAUGAACCAUCUGUUGUUUAGUCUGCCUGGCAUCCAUCUUUAUUUUGGGCUAACAGCCCCUUUUCUAUGCCACACCCCAGGCGGUCCUGGUGAAUACUAGUUUACAGCAGUGGUUCCCUACCAAGGGUAAGUUCUCGCCCUCCUCAAGGAACACUUAACAAUGUCUAGAGAUAUUUGUUUUUUCACACCUCAGAAGGGCAGUGCUAUUGGCAAGUAGAAUGCUAUUAAAUAUUCAACAGUGUAUAAAAGGCAGUCCAUCACAACUAAGAAUCAUCUGGCCAAAAACGUCAAUAGUGUCAAGGCUGAGAAACCCUGGUUUCCAAAAAAUGAGACCUUUACACAAGCAGAGUGCACCAGAAUUUCUCCAAAAAAUAGGUGGGUGUAGAAAAAAAAUGAAUUUCCUUCUUAUUCUUAGAUUGUGACUAUGGUUUUCUCUAACCACCUUAUGCUAGUGACUGGAAAGGGCCAAACUGAUCCAGAUGUCCUUGUGAGCAGAAAAAAACUAGAAAAAUAAAAAAUAAAAAAUUCUAAACACUCAACUGAGAAUUGAACAAGUCAAGGUGUGGAGAACUGAGUAACUCAGAAACAGCAUCUUAACAACAUCAUUUGAGCCUUAAGGAUCCAGUCAACCCUGACCUCAGACUUCAUCCCUACAUAAACCAAUAAAUUCCAAUUUUGCUUAACAGUAGAUUGAGUUGGGUUUCCUUAGCAACCCUAGCAACUCAAAAUCAAGACAAGCACACAUACUGAAAAACAAUUCAAAUCAUGUGUUCCAUUACGGAAGGGGCAUGGCAAUAUCACUUUAAAGUCUGGAUUAAUAUCAGUUGUAUUACUAAAGAAAAAUAAAUUACACAAUCAUAUACAUAGUGCUUACUGCUUAUAUGUUACUAGGAUAAUGUGAGCAUUACAUACCUAUCUCCUAAGUGUCAUAAUGAUCCAAAGGGGCAAAUUUAAUUACUUUCAUUUCACAAAGGAGGUUACACGCUCAGAGGGUAAAAAAUGUCUGUCAUACUGCUUUGCUACUAAGUGGUAGAGUUGGGAUGCCCAAUCAGAUCUCUCUGGCUCAUAGACCAUGCUUGCCUUCUUUUUGAAUGAUUUGGAAAGGCAUUCAAAAAACCCUUUACUUUAUACCUUUCAAUCCCUCCAAAUUAACAGAUAUUUAAAGGGAAAGAUUUCUUUAGUGACUUUUACUGUGGAUCAUAAUAGAGGACAGAAAAACUUAAGUAGCUUGACAUUAAUUAGCCAAGUCAUUUUAAAAAUUUCAUUUCCAAGAAAUGAAUUCCCUUGUAACUUCCUAAAAGAGGUAGAGUAUUAUCUCUGUCAUUUCCUUAGGUUCAACUCUUUUAAAGUUUCUAAAAUUGUGCCUAUUCACUGACUUACCCAUCUUGUUUGAGAACACUUACCUCUUUGUGUACACCAGUUACGUAUUCCACGAUAUUGCACAGAAAGGAUUCUAUCAGAGUCAGUAUUCUUUUAAAAAGUUUGUAUGGUCAACACCAAAAGACAAGUUAUUUCAGGCCCCGGGGCCUAUAGAUUUUCCCAUUGGUAACCACUUUCUCUAAGACAGGGGUUCUCAAAUAGUGGUCCUCAGACCAGCAACAUCAACUUCACCUGGGAAUUUUAAGAAAUGGAAAUUCUUGGCCCCAAUACAGAACUUCUGAGUCCAAAACCCAGGGUGGGGAAUCAGCAAUCUGUUUGAACAAGUUCUUCGGGCAAGUCUCAGACACUCUCAAGUUUGCUCUAAGUGGUAAGAUGACUCAGACUCCAACACCUACAUCCUCAGAGAAAUCAAUCUAUGCAGACUCCCAAAGUAAACUCUUGGGAGACAGGAGGACGACCUGGCAACAGUGGCAGUAACAGCCUGCACAUCACAUGACUUAGUAGGUACUUUGGUACAUUUAUGGGAUCCAAUGCUAGUUGCACACUUAUCACACAACGGAUUUUCUGACGGCCAUAUGAUUUAUGUGAGGGUGAAGACAGAAUAUAAAAAAACAAAACAUAAUACAGAUGCUCCUUGACUUAUGAUGGGGUUAUACCCUGAUAAAUCAUCAUAAGCUGAAAAUAUCAUAAGUCAAAAAGGCAUUUAAUACAACUAACCUAUCCUUACAUAAGUUGAAAUACAUUAAUACACCUAACCUAACCUAAUCUGCCCAGCAUCACAAAAGUACUCCAUACCAGUAGCCCAGAAUAGGUCAAAAUUCAAAAUUUAAAGUACGGUUUCUACUGAACGCAUAUUCAUUUUGCACCAUCGUAAAGUCAAUUUUAAGUUGAAUGAUUGUAGGUCAGGGACCAUCGGUAUAGCUACUUUUAUAUAUCUAUCUUUUGUAUCUACUAAAUUAUAUCUUACAUUUUAUUCACAAUUUAAAAGUUGGUGAGUAAACAUUUUAUAUUCAUUUCACUUCAAAAACCUUAAACCUAACAAUACAUUUGUCUUUUAAGUAAUCUGUGCUUACGUUUUUUUCCUAGACAUCAGUGGCCCUUUUUGGAUAAAAUGAUUCCAUCCCCUAUGCAUGUCCUUUUUAGUAUCAAUGCAACUAUCUAAGAAAUGAAAAGAUGACCUACCAGUAUGAAAGGACAAGGUACACUAUAAAUUCAAUCUCCAUAGACUUCAUUUCGGAAAUUUUGAUCUCAAUAAGCUAAGUUAAGAAAGACAUCAU
rnacentral:lncRNA from 1 species